rnacentral:rRNA from 1 species
UGCAGUCGAACGAUCCUUUCGGGGAUAGUGGCGCACGGGUGCGUAACGCGUGGGAAUCUGCCCUUGGGUUCGGAAUAACGUCUGGAAACGGACGCUAAUACCGGAUGAUGACGUAAGUCCAAAGAUUUAUCGCCCAGGGAUGAGCCCGCGUAGGAUUAGCUAGUUGGUGGGGUAAAGGCCUACCAAGGCGACGAUCCUUAGCUGGUCUGAGAGGAUGAUCAGCCACACUGGGACUGAGACACGGCCCAGACUCCUACGGGAGGCAGCAGUAGGGAAUAUUGGACAAUGGGCGAAAGCCUGAUCCAGCAAUGCCGCGUGAGUGAUGAAGGCCUUAGGGUUGUAAAGCUCUUUUACCCGGGAUGAUAAUGACAGUACCGGGAGAAUAAGCCCCGGCUAACUCCGUGCCAGCAGCCGCGGUAAUACGGAGGGGGCUAGCGUUGUUCGGAAUUACUGGGCGUAAAGCGCACGUAGGCGGCGAUUUAAGUCAGAGGUGAAAGCCCGGGGCUCAACCCCGGAACUGCCUUUGAGACUGGAUUGCUUGAAUCCGGGAGAGGUGAGUGGAAUUCCGAGUGUAGAGGUGAAAUUCGUAGAUAUUCGGAAGAACACCAGUGGCGAAGGCGGCUCACUG